CCUAGUAGCGAGCGUUAUCGCAUUACUGGGCGUAAGCGCUUGUAGGCGGUUCUGUAAGUCGGGCGUGAAAUCUCCGGGCUUAACCCGGCAGUGGCCGUUCGAUACUGCAGGGUCUUGAGGAUGCUAGAGGGUGGUGGAAUUCCAGGUGUAGUGGUGAAAUGCGUAGAUAUCUGGAGGAACAUCCGUGGCUGAAGGCGGCCACCUGGGGCAUUCCUGACGCUGAGAAGCGACAGCUAGGGGAUCAAACGGGAUUAGAAACCCCGGGUAGUCCUAGCCGUAAACGAUGGACGCUAGGUGUUGGCAGAUCUAACCCUGUCUGCGCCGAAGCAAACGCGUUAAGCGUCCCGCCUGGGAACUACGGUCGCAAGAUUAAAACUCAAAGGAAUUGACGGGGACCCGCACAAGCAGCGGAGCGUGUGGAUUUAAUUCGAUGGUACAGCGAAGGAGCCUUACCCAGGUUUGACAUACUAGUGGUAGUGAACCUGAAAGGGGAACGACCCGUCAAGGGAGCCUAGUACAGGUGUUGCAGGGCUGUCGUCAGCUCGUGUCGUGAGAUGUUGGUUUAAGUACCCUAACGAGCGCAACCCUUAUUGCCAGUUACACGUAUCUGGCGAGACUGCCGGCCACAAGCCGGAGGAAGGCGAGGAUGACGUCAAGUCAGCAUGGCCUUUAUAUCUGGGGCUACACACACGCUACAAUGGGCGUAACAAUGGGAUGCCAAGCCGUGAGGCGGAGCCAAUCCCCCAAAUACGUCCUCAGUUCAGAUUGACAGGCUGCAACCCGCCUGCAUGAAGUCGGAGUUGCUAGUAAACGCGCGUCAGCUAUAGUGCGUUGAAUACGUUACCCGGGUCUUGUACACACCGCCCGUCACACUAUGGGAGCUGGUAAUACCUGAAGCCGGUAGCCUAACCGCAGGAUGUGCCGUCAAAGUAGGGCUGUAAUGGGG
rnacentral:rRNA from 1 species